rnacentral:rRNA from 1 species
CUUUUGAUCCUGGCUCAGAACGAACGCUUAUGGUAUGCUUAACACAUGCAAGUUAAACGGACUAAUUUAGGGCUUGCUCUAAAUUAGUUAGUAGACUACGGGUGAGUAACACGUGGGAAUCUACCCAUCAGUACGGAAUAACAUUUAGAACGGAUUGCUAAUACCGUAUAUUCUCUUCGGAGGAAAGAUUCAUCGCUGAUGGAUGAGCCCGCGCCAGAUUAGGUAGUUGGUGGGGUAAUAGCUCACCAAGCCAACGAUCUGUAGCUGGUCUGAGAGGAUGAACAGCCACACUGGGACUGAGACACGGCCCAGACUCCUACGGGAGGCAGCAGUGGGGAAUAUUGGACAAUGGGCGAAAGCCUGAUCCAGCAAUACCGAGUGAGUGAUGAAGGCCUUAGGGUUGCUAGCUCUUACAGCGGGGAAGAUAAUGACGGUACCCGAGAAAGAAAGCGUCGGCUAACUCCGUGCCAGCAGCCGCGGUAAGACGGAGGCGGCUAGCGUUGUUCGGAUUUACUGGAUGUAAAGAGUGCGUAGGCGGUUUGGUAAGUUGGUUGUGAAAGCCCGAGGCUUAACCUCGGAACUGCAGCCAAAACUACUAAUCUAGAGUGUAGUAGGUAUUGAUGGAAUUCCUAGUGUAGAGGUGAAAUUCUUAGAUAUUAGGAGGAACACCAGUACCGAAGGCGGUCAUCUGGGCUACAACUGACGCUGAUGCACGAAAGCGUGGCAGCAAACAGGAUUAGAUACCCUGGUAGUCCACGCUGUAAACGAUGAGUGCUAGAUAUUGGCUGAAUCUCUCUCAGUUUCGUAGCUAACGCGUUAAGCACUCCGCCUGGGGAGUACGGUCGCAAGAUUACAACUCAAAGGAAUUGACGGGGGCUCGCACAAGUGGUGGAGCAUGGCGGUUUAAUUCGAUGUUACGCGAAAAACCUUACCAACCCUUGACAUGGUGGUCGGGGGAAGCAGAGAUGCAUCCCUUCAGACCGGCUGGACCACACACAGGUGUUGCAUGGCUGUCGUCAUUUCGUGUCGUCAGAUGUUGGGUUAAGUCCCGCAACGAGCGCAACCCUUAUUGUUAUAGGCCAGCGGGUAACGCCGGGAACUAUAAUGAAACUGCCGGUGAUAAGCCGGAGGAAGGUGGUACGACGUCAAGUCAUCAUGGCCCUUAUGGGUUGGGCUACACGCGUGCUACAAUGGUAUUUACAGAGCUAAGCAAUACAGCGAUGUGGAGCAAAUCCCUAAAAGAUAUCUCAGUUCGGAUUGCUCUCUGCAACUCGAGAGCAUGACGUUGGAAUCACUAGUAAUCGCGGAUCAGCAUGCCGCGGUGAAUACGUUCUCGGGCCUUGUACACACUGCCCGUCACGCCAUGGGAGUUGAUUUUACCUGAAGGUGGUGAGCGAACCGAAAGGAAGCAGCCAACCACGGUAAGUACUAGCGACUGGGGUGAAGUCGGCACAAGGUAACC